GGGGUUGGAGGCCUAGAGGGGUCAGGGUCACUGCGGGUGGAGGGGGACUGGGGCGGAGGUGGGCUGCAGCGGCGGGGGCGGGGGAGGGUGAGGGCGGGGCGGCCGUUCAGCCCGCGGCGGUACGGGCGGGAAGGGAAACUGGCUAGAGGAGGAAGGAGAGGCAGCUGCGGCACCCUCGUGGGUAGGGCGACGGGUCUGGGAUUGGCCACUGCGGCGGUGGCGCUGCGUCGGCGUCGGUGCGGGGACGUCCGCCGCGGCGGCGUCGGGGUGGGGGUGGCCGCUGCGUUGGCGUCGGGGCUGGGAUCGGCUACUGCGCGGUGUGGUGGACGGUCUCGUGGAACCCCUUCGGGCUAGGCCGCUCCUAGGAAGUGGUGGGAGGUGAGAGGCCGCUGGUGGUCGGGCGCACGCCUACCCCACGAUAGGACGUCUAGCUCCUCCGCAGCUUGAAGUCUACCUCCUCCGGUCUUGGACGUAGACCGGUGCGGUACCAACGCGCAGUGGCCGUAGGAGGCAGUGCGAGCCGUCGAGGACUCGCAACCUCACUUCCCGUAAAAGAAGUCCCGUCACCUCUCGUGGGAGUGGGACUAGGCUAGACGUCGUCGCAGGGGCUCAGGAGGGUUUCGUCGGGACUCGGCAAGUUCAUACGUCGGGGCCCGGCAAGUUUCUGCCUCGACGGCUGGCAAGCACUUGUGUUGUGGGGCUUAGGACGACGGGUGGUAGGACAUUUCCCUCUGAAUAACACUUCUGAAGUUCGACUCAUCUCUUCUGAGCUAAUUUCCUUCUCCCCUCAACCAAGAGAAAACUCCAACGCUGAGCUAAUUAGCUAAUUAAUGUCGAAUAAAAGCUGGAAGGACACGAUCAUCUAGAAAGGGGUUAAGACUAGAAGAAAGCCAACGACAAACCUAACUAAGGGAGGUGAGAAGAAGCUGGCGCGAGUAUUUAUGCCGGAACAUUAGAACACCUUUCCUCGUCACGUCACGUACACUUAUGUAUACCGGACUUCGACGAUAUUAACAGGUUUUAGGCCACAAACGACGACGUUAGGUUCACUUCAUAUAAACCUUUGUACGGACGGAGCUCAGAAGAAGAGACCAUACGAGCGUAGUGUGUCGUACUGUCACAUGAUGUGUUUUAUCGUACCCUCACUAAGGACGUUUUCGAGUUUAAGACGACUGUUCAACACACGACGCAAACCGUGAAAAGUCAGGACUUGGUCGUCAGGAGCUCCGUCCUACAUGAUGAUGGACCUGAGUAGACGGGGCCUCCGUGUUGUGCUUGGUUCGGGGUACAAAAAGUCACUGACUGAGUCAUCAGGAACUACCAGCUUGUAGGCCGUCGAUCGGGCAUGACGUGGUGGUAUAGAACGGUAGAAUACUAGGGUCGUUUUACAACUUCAUUUUGUGUGUGGUGGUCCUCCUCUCAUAUACAGUUCCUUCCUGACCACUUUAUCGUCCCGUCUCUACGGUGUCAUUACGACUCGGCUUCACCAUCGUACACACGCUCUUCUGAGCAAACAAACCCAACCCCUCGGUCGGCUCGGUCGCGUGUGAACCACCUGUCAGAUAGACCAAGCAUGCGGGCCGGCACUAUAACACAGGCUUUUCUUCUGAGUUUACCCGUGCAAGUUGAUGACACAGGGUUGGGUACUUUUGAACACCGGGCAGUACCAGAUGAAUGUGGAUUUGCCGAUGGUAAAAAGAUAAUCACUUUAAAGGAGACACAACCUAAAUACUUCUACCUUGUCUAGUGACAAAUCUCAAAACAACCAUGCGACAACGACGUCAAAUUUUACUUUCUCUCUCUCUCUCUCUAAAGAAAAUUCUCUACUCGCAACGACGGCAGGAAUCAAUUUCUUUACUCUUCUCUCUCUCUCUCUCUCGCGUCUAUCCUAUAUCACCCACCCACGACCUAUCUUUGGUGAUUGAAAUCUUCUUUUUCAUAAAGAAAUAGACCGUGAAUCACCCACACAGAAAGAGACUUAUCACCCAUCACAUCCGUAUAUGGUACGAAACGGAUAAAGUACAGGAGAAGUUAACCAUUUAACAGC
rnacentral:rRNA from 1 species